rnacentral:misc_RNA from 1 species
AAGUCGUAACAAGGUCUCCGUAGGUGAACCUGCGGAGGGAUCAUUAACACGUCCAAUACGUAAACAACCGCGAACUGUUCUGUUCCGUCUCAAUUAUCCAACUCAAAGCUCGCAGAAGACAUUGGCGCCGUAUGAUGCAUCCGUUCUGGCAACAGUUCGGGGUCACACAUUGUACGGUUCUGCGAUGCCUGCUCCGGGGUAAAACCGCUUGGCUCAUUCCAGCGGCACUCGGAGAAUGGUUUUUGGGAGGUCGAUCGCCAAAUGUGUAACAAAUUAACCCCUAUAACACGAUGUCCUAAAUUUCCCGACUCGUCUGCGGGGGAUAACGAACCCGUAAGCGAAGGAAGUAAAAACAAACAAUGUACAACUCUUGUCAACGGAUGUCUAGGUUCUC